CCUGUUUAGUUCAGAUUAGAGAAAUUUGUGUUAGUUUUGUACUUGACAACUUUCCCUCUUUAUAGCUCUUUUUGUUUCAUUUUCUCAUAUGAAAAAAUAAAUAAAUAAACAAGGACAAAAAUACGGUGCAUAGGUGGUAUAACAGGUACAGAUCGCACACUCUAAUUUUUGUUAGUUUUGUACUUAACAAUUUUUCCUUCUUUAUAGCUCUUUACAGUUUGAAGCUUCGGUUGAUGCUUAACAAGUACAUAAGGACGCUGUAAUAUUGCCGACAGGUUUUUUCAUCAUCUUUUUGAUGAAAAUGCCUACAUGUUUUUGGGGCUUUUGGAAAUGAUGGUACUUCAUGAGAACACUGUAAUUUUUGUUUGGUAGUUUUGUACUUAACAAUUUUCCCUUCUUCAUAGCUCUUUACAACAUGAAGCUUUGAUUGAUGCUUAACAAGUACAGAAGGACUCUGUAAUAUUGCCGACAGGUUUUUUCAUCAUCUUUUUUAUGAAAAUGCCUACAUGUUUCUAGUGCUUUUGGAAAUGGCGGUACUUCAUGAGAAUAUAUAUAUAGGCAUUACUGUAUCUAGGUUAACCUUCCACUUUAAAGCGAGGUUAAGUAAUUUCAUAGUGUUUAACCCAAAAUAAAGCGAGGUUAAGUAAUUUCAUAGUGUUUAACCCAAAAUAAAUAAAUAAGGAGAAAUCAAUUCACAGUGCAGG
rnacentral:lncRNA from 1 species